AUGAACUAUAACCUGAGUGAAGCCCUCAAGACACUGAAGCUCUCCUCAGCAGACAGCACCUCGGACAGUGUAGAGAACUGCCUGGACUGCCUGCUGAAAGCCUUGGCCCAAAACAAUGUGGAAGCGAGUGAAAAGAUUCAGGAGAUGGGUGUUCUUCCUAUGAUGCCUUCAUUAUUGGCUAUACAGAACUCCUGCACACCAAAAGUAGCCAACAUCAUAGCAGAAUUGGCGAAAAACGAGUUUAUGCGGAGUCCCUGUGUGGAGGCAGGGCUAAUUCCCCCUCUGGUGCAGCUGCUCAACUGCAAAGACCAGGAGGUGCUGCUUCAGACGGGUCGAGCCCUGGGCAACAUCUGCUAUGACAGCCAAUCGAGUAAGGAGCAGUUUGCGUCUACAAACAUCGCAGAGGAGCUAGUGAGACUGUUCCGGAAGCAGGUGGAGCAUGAAAAGAAGGAGAUGAUCUUUGAGGUGCUGGCUCCGCUGGCUGAGAACGAUGUGAUCAAGCUACAGCUGGUGGAGGCAGGCCUGGUGGAGUGUCUGUUGGAUGUGGUUGGUCAGACGGUGGACAGUGACAGAGAGGAGGACACGGCUCAGCUGAAAACCGCCUCUGACCUCAUGGUGCUGCUGCUGCUGGGAGACGAGUCAAUGCAGAAACUGUUUGAUGGGGGUAAAGGUAACGUGUUCCAGAGGGUUCUCUCCUGGGUUCCGUCUAACAGCCACCAGCUUCAGCUAGCUGGCGCCCUGGCCAUCGCAAACUUCGCCCGCAACGAUGGGAACUGCAUCCACAUGGUGGACACGGGCAUUGUGCAGAUGCUGCUGGACCUUCUGGACAGGCAUGUGGAGGAGGGCAACGUCACCGUCCAGCACGCUGCUCUCAGUGCCCUCAGGAACCUGGCCAUCCCAGUGGUGAACAAGUCUAAGAUGCUCACGGCCGGCGUGACCGACGUGGUGCUGAGGUUCCUCCCGUCCGAGAUGCCACCGGUUCAGUUCAAGCUGCUGGGAACGUUACGGAUGCUCAUCGACACACAAGCGGAUGCUGCAGAACAGUUGGGUAUGAACCGUAAGCUGGUAGAGAGGCUGGUGGAGUGGUGUGAGGCCAAGGACCAUGCAGGCGUGAUGGGAGAAUCCAACCGCCUGCUCUCAGCACUCAUUCGACACAGCAAGUCAAAGGAAGUUGUUCGGACAGUCAUUCAGUAUGGUGGUGUAAAGCACUUGGUUACCAUGGCAACGAGUGAACACAUGAUCAUGCAGAAUGAAGCACUGGUGGCCUUGGGUCUCAUAGCAGCACUAGAUUUAGAUUCAGCAGAGAAGGAUUUUGUAGGGGCCACACUAGUGCAGGUGCUGCACAAACUUCUGAUGGAGGAGAAGAGCGCUCCUGAGAUCAAAUACAACUCCAUGAUCCUCAUCUGCUCCGUCAUGGGCUCAGAGCCGCUUCAUAAAGAAGUGCAUAGCCUGGCCUUCAUUGACGUGGUGUCCAAGCUACGCACCCAUGAGAACAAAACGGUGUCCCACCAGGCCUCACUCACAGAACAGAGGCUAACGGCACAGAGCUAAAGGACUCUUGUACACCCCGCCCUCCUACAAACAUGUGCACACACACACACACACACACACUCUAUCCACUCUGCCUGCCAACCUUUCCUGUACACGCCCAUAACCUCCUAUUGACCUCACCAUCUCCCACUGUCGUGUGCCAAGGUAUCCCAUUCCUCUGCCCCCGCCCCUUCCCUGCUGUAACGACUCCUCCCUGCCCCCAUGCUGCCUGUGCAUGCGUUCCUGACUCCUGCAAAUAGGUUCUGUGAGAUACCAGAGAGCGCAUUUUCUUUUAAACAGACCGCAGCUGUGAUAUGAACGAAGCAUCCGCAUCUCAUGGAGGACGAAGACGACGGUUUUGAAAAUGCAAAAAAAAUAAUAAUAAUAAUAAAAAAAAAAUUUAAAAGUAGAUAAAAAACA
ensembl:lncRNA